rnacentral:rRNA from 1 species
GAUGAACGCUAGCUACAGGCUUAACACAUGCAAGUCGAGGGGAAACGACAUCGAAAGCUUGCUUUUGAUGGGCGUCGACCGGCGCACGGGUGAGUAACGCGUAUCCAACCUGCCCACCACUUGGGGAUAACCUUGCGAAAGUAAGACUAAUACCCAAUGAUAUCCCACGAAGGCAUCGGAAUGGGAUUAAAGAUUUAUCGGUGAUGGAUGGGGAUGCGUCUGAUUAGCUUGUUGGCGGGGUAACGGCCCACCAAGGCAACGAUCAGUAGGGGUUCUGAGAGGAAGGUCCCCCACAUUGGAACUGAGACACGGUCCAAACUCCUACGGGAGGCAGCAGUGAGGAAUAUUGGUCAAAUGGACGAGAGCCUGAACCAGCCAAGUAGCGUGCAGGAUGACGGCCCUAAUGGGUUGUAAACUGCUUUUAUAAGGGAAUAAAGUGAGUCUCGUGAGACUUUUUGCAUGUACCUUAUGAAUAAGGACCGGCUAAUUCCGUG